GACGAACGCUUGCGGCGUGCUUAACACAUGCAAGUCGAACGGAAAGGCCCUGCUUUUGUGGGGUGCUCGAGUGGCGAACGGGUGAGUAACACGUGAGUAACCUGCCCUUGACUUUGGGAUAACUUCAGGAAACUGGGGCUAAUACCGGAUAGGAGCUCCUGCUGCAUGGUGGGGGUUGGAAAGUUUCGGCGGUUGGGGAUGGACUCGCGGCUUAUCAGCUUGUUGGUGGGGUAGUGGCUUACCAAGGCUUUGACGGGUAGCCGGCCUGAGAGGGUGACCGGCCACAUUGGGACUGAGAUACGGCCCAGACUCCUACGGGAGGCAGCAGUGGGGAAUAUUGCACAAUGGGCGGAAGCCUGAUGCAGCAACGCCGCGUGCGGGAUGACGGCCUUCGGGUUGUAAACCGCUUUCGCCUGUGACGAAGCGUGAGUGACGGUAAUGGGUAAAGAAGCACCGGCUAACUACGUGCCAGCAGCCGCGGUGAUACGUAGGGUGCGAGCGUUGUCCGGAUUUAUUGGGCGUAAAGGGCUCGUAGGUGGUUGAUCGCGUCGGAAGUGUAAUCUUGGGGCUUAACCCUGAGCGUGCUUUCGAUACGGGUUGACUUGAGGAAGGUAGGAGAGAAUGGAAUUCCUGGUGGAGCGGUGGAAUGCGCAGAUAUCAGGAGGAACACCAGUGGCGAAGGCGGUUCUCUGGGCCUUUCCUGACGCUGAGGAGCGAAAGCGUGGGGAGCGAACAGGCUUAGAUACCCUGGUAGUCCACGCUGUAAACGGUGGGUACUAGGUGUGGGGUCCAUUCCACGGGUUCCGUGCCGUAGCUAACGCUUUAAGUACCCCGCCUGGGGAGUACGGCCGCAAGGCUAAAACUCAAAGGAAUUGACGGGGCCCCGCACAAGCGGCGGAGCAUGCGGAUUAAUUCGAUGCAACGCGUAGAACCUUACCUGGGUUUGACAUGGAUCGGGAGUGCUCAGAGAUGGGUGUGCCUCUUUUGGGGUCGGUUCACAGGUGGUGCAUGCCUGUCGUCAGCUCGUGUCGUGAGAUGUUGGGUUAAGUCCCGCAACGAGCGCAACCCCUGUUCACUGUUGCCAGCACGUUAUGGUGGGGACUCAGUGGAGACCGCCGGGGUCAACUCGGAGGAAGGUGGGGAUGACGUCAAGUCCUCAUGCCCCUUAUGUCCAGGGCUUCACGCAUGCUACAAUGGCUGGUACAGAGAGUGGCGAGCCUGUGAGGGUGAGCGAAUCUCGGAAAGCCGGUCUCAGUUCGGAUUGGGGUCUGCAACUCGACCUCAUGAAGUCGGAGUCGCUAGUAAUCGCAGAUCAGCAACGCUGCGGUGAAUACGUUCCCGGG
rnacentral:rRNA from 1 species